AUGCAUCUUCCGCCAUUGAUCAGCUUCCUGGUAUCGUCGAAGCUUCCAAUGCACGCAGAUCAGCUUCCUUCUUCCCUUAAAAAAAAAGCUUUCAGUUGUAUUCCUAAGUUUAUCAGUUAUCUGAUAGUAUUACCCCAACACUCCUUGAACUCCAAAUGCAUACACAGUUCAAAGCAAACAGAUAAAAAAAAAUCAAAGUAUAUUUUAUUUUAUUUUAUUUUUUCAACUGCAAGUAUAUGUGUAAGUGUAAGUGUAAGCUUAGCAGCUUAUGGUUUAUGGAAAAUCUUUUUACCCAGUAAUACUCUAGCAUCAAUCGCUUCUUAA